AUGGCUCAAAGCGACCCGUGCUGGGGCAGGGGGAAGCGCGAGUCGGCCGCCAGGGCCCACCGCGGGAUCUCACCGCCGGAGGCCUCCCAGCACAGGGACGGUCCCACCGCACGCCCGGGACGACGGACUGGCGCCCCCCCCCCCGGCACCCUCACGGGGGCUCACGCCCACCGCCACCGACACACACCCGAGAGCCGCAAGCCGGCCAGGGAGAACGCUCUCCCGCCGCGCACCGGCGGCCCCCACGUCCCCCACACGCGCAAAGCUCCCCGCGCGCCGCCCCGCCUCGGGGACGCCACCGGCCGACGGAGGCCGGGGGACGACACCCACAUGAGGCGAGGCCGGCUCGGCCCCAGACAGGGGAAGGGAGCGCGGGGCGGUCGCACGCGUGGGACGAGGAGGAGAGGCCGGCAGCGGCGGGGAGGGGCCGGCAAGCACGCACGGCGGGGGCCGCGGGACAGGGCCGCGGGCGCCAUCCGGGGACCACAAAGACACCGGGAACACGGCCGGGCCACCAGGAAAACCAGCGCGGGGUCCCACCGCCACCCACACACGAGGGCGGUCCCGCGACACGCCUGGGACGCCGACCGGUCCCGGCCAGCCCCAGAGCGGGCCCCCACGACCCGGCCCCGCCGCCAGGGCCGGCGAGCCGCCCAAACCCAUCUUCCGCCACCCGUCCUCGACAGAUCCGUCUUCCGAUCUAAGGGCGCGAGCACGAGGAGCCGGGCGUGCCGGGAAAGCGGGGCGGGGCGGAGAGGCCACGGACGCGGCACGCGCGCCGGAAGACCCGCGAGGCGAGGGAGCCAGGGGGGAGGGGGGGAGUGGCGGGAGGGCGCUCGCCCGGCCGGGAGGCCCGGCCGCGCCCCCCGUCCCGCGCCGCGGCGGGGACGCCCGAUCGCGCGCACGCUCUCGGUCCACGAGGGUCGCAGCGCACCGCCGCCACCGCGCGGAGGGCCGAGGAGGGGGAGGGAGAGGGCGGCGGAGCCCCCUCUCCCUCCACCCCCGCACCCGCCCCCCCCCACCGCGAGCCCGCCCGCCCCGGGGGGGACUCCACCACGGCCAAGGCCACACCGCGGACGGCCGACGCGCGCCCUCGGCGUCCGGCCGUCACACCCGCCCCAGAGGGGCGGGGGACGCCGGCCGGCGAGGACACGGCGACCGGCCCGCGGUGGGCAAGACCGGGGACCCGACCCGCGCUCGGGCGAGCGCACCGGAGCGGGGGGCCGCGGCGGGGCGGGGGAGGGGGGAGAUCACGGGAGCUCCCCCUCGUCCAGCACGCGACGGCGGCGACGGACAGGCGGCGGCGAAACGGGCAACGGAUCGGGACCGCGGCGGGCCCGGAAGCGAGACACACCAGGGCGCGGCCCCGGGAGGCAGCAGACGGCGAGCGGACUGAGGCGGACGGACAGACGGAGAGGGGCACCGACGGGGUGCGGCCACGCGAGGCCAACGCCACGGAACAGGGGCGGUGUUGGUGGGGCGGCCGCGCGCCACCGCGAGGGGCAUGGCUCAAAGCGACCCGUGCUGGGGCAGGGGGAAGCGCGAGUCGGCCGCCAGGGCCCACCGCGGGAUCUCACCGCCGGAGGCCUCCCAGCACAGGGACGGUCCCACCGCACGCCCGGGACGACGGACUGGCGCCCCCCCCCCGGCACCCUCACGGGGGCUCACGCCCACCGCCACCGACACACACCCGAGAGCCGCAAGCCGGCCAGGGAGAACGCUCUCCCGCCGCGCACCGGCGGCCCCCACGUCCCCCACACGCGCAAAGCUCCCCGCGCGCCGCCCCGCCUCGGGGACGCCACCGGCCGACGGAGGCCGGGGGACGACACCCACAUGAGGCGAGGCCGGCUCGGCCCCAGACAGGGGAAGGGAGCGCGGGGCGGUCGCACGCGCGGGACGAGGAGGAGAGGCCGGCAGCGGCGGGGAGGGGCCGGCAAGCACGCACGGCGGGGGCCGCGGGACAGGGCCGCGGGCGCCAUCCGGGGACCACAAAGACACCGGGAACACGGCCGGGCCACCAGGAAAACCAGCGCGGGGUCCCACCGCCACCCACACACGAGGGCGGUCCCGCGACACGCCUGGGACGCCGACCGGUCCCGGCCAGCCCCAGAGCGGGCCCCCACGACCCGGCCCCGCCGCCAGGGCCGGCGAGCCGCCCAAACCCAUCUUCCGCCAUCCGUCCUCGACAGAUCCGUCUUCCGAUCUAAGUCUGCCACCCCGAGGCUCGACAUCCUGGGGAUCACGCUCUCGAGCGAGGCGGCCCCGACCGUGACCGCACGCCGCCACCGGCUGCGGCUCGUGGGGAGAGGGCGGGCGCGAUAGGCUCUCCCGCACCACGGCUGCGGGGCUGGGGAAGCCGGGGCCGACCGGACGUCGCGCCCCCAACACCUUCCCCCCUUUGCCCCAAGGCUCACCACACCGCGGGGGCCGACCGCGCGCACACGCGGCGCACGCACGCUCCGGUCCCCCCCCACCUGCCGGACGCCCGGCGGGGCCCAGCGGGACCCUCCCCCAACUCGAAGGGGGGAGGCGCGGGCCGCGGUAGGCAACGAGCGGCACACGGCCCCACCGCGGGGCCGGCGCACCCGCCCCCCACCGCCCCCAGAGGGGAGGUGGGGGGCGGGGUGUUCUGCCCACGCGCUCUUGGCAGCCGCCACGGCGGCCACUGCGCACGCAGGAGGGGCAGCAGCUGGGGGGUCCGAUACCCCAAGGCUCCCUCUCGGAUCGCUAGAGAAGGCUUUCUCACCGAGGGCUCGCCGCCCCUCACCCGGAUCGUCUCUCUCCUUCGGGCCCACGGAGGCGCUCCACGAGCCACCAGUCCUCAGCUGGGGUGGGAGGGGUCUGCGGUACAGGUAGGCGGAGCACCAACACAGGAGCGUCUGCGCGGCCGGGGCCAGCGCAGAGCCCGCGUCCCGUCCCCUGCAAGGCCUCACCCGUCAGCCUCGACGACGAGGGGAACAGGCACGCCUCUCCUACCGCCUCGACCCCCCCCAAAAGAGAGCCCACUCACGGGACACACACACACACCACCGCGGUGGGGACCCGAGGAGGACACCGGGGUUAAGGGAAACGACACCACCGCUCGGCCUCAGGCACCUGAGCGACGACCUGGAGCGCUCCAGGGGCACCACCGAGGGUCCAACGAGGCACGCUCGCGCACCCGCGCGGGGGGGGCGCAGCGCAGCAGCGGUACAGCCCUCCCCACCGCGGGGAGGGCCGCUCGCGGAGCACACGCCGGGAAGGCGAAGCGAGAGCAUCUGCUGUGUCAGAAGACCCACGGCCCCCACUGACGCCACCCGAGGCGGGGGACAGGAGACCGAAG
rnacentral:lncRNA from 1 species